UGCGCAGGUGGGAAUGUAAGUCAGUGGUGAAAUACUGCCGCUUAACGGUAGAAUUGCCAUUGAUACUACAUUUCUUGAGUAUGGUUGAGGUAGGCGGAAUGUGUCGUGUAGCGGUGAAAUGCAUAGAUAUGACACAGAACGCCGAUUGCGAAGGCGGCUUACUAAGCCAUUACUGACACUGAGGCACGAAAGCGUGGGGAGCGAACAGGAUUAGAUACCCUGGUAGUCC
rnacentral:rRNA from 1 species